rnacentral:misc_RNA from 1 species
AUGAGUUGUGAUGGGGUUCGAUGCUGGCAGCCAAUUUUUGGAUGCAUGUGCUUGCCCUAACAAUCAUCUUCCAAACACCUGUGCACAUUUUUGAGGGAGUCUUGAGUUGGUUGCCGCUCUUGGGUGAUUUUCUUACAUUCCCUUAAAUCAUUAUACGCUAUUAACAAUGUUGAACGUGCUUUGUGCCGCAAGGCUAUUAAUAUAAUA